rnacentral:rRNA from 1 species
AAGUCGUAACAAGGUUUCCGUAGGUGAACCUGCGGAAGGAUCAUUACCUAGAGUUGUAGGCUUUGCCUACCUUCUCUUACCCAUGUCUUUUGAGUACUUACGUUUCCUCGGUGGGUUCGCCCACCGAUUGGACAAAAAAUAAACCCUUUGCAGUUGCAAUCAGCGUCUGAAAAACUUAAUAGUUACAACUUUCAACAACGGAUCUCUUGGUUCUGGCAUCGAUGAAGAACGCAGCGAAAUGCGAUAAGUAGUGUGAAUUGCAGAAUUCAGUGAAUCAUCGAAUCUUUGAACGCACAUUGCGCCCCUUGGUAUUCCAUGGGGCAUGCCUGUUCGAGCGUCAUUUGUACCUUCAAGCUUUGCUUGGUGUUGGGUGUUUGUCUCGCCUUUGCGUGUAGACUCGCCUUAAAAGAAUUGGCAGCCGGCGUAUUGAUUUCGGAGCGCAGUACAUCUCGCGCUUUGCACUCAUAACGACGACGUCCAAAAGUACAUUUUUACACUCUUGACCUCGGAUCAGGUAGGGAUACCCGCUGAACUUAAGCAUAUCAAUAAGCGGAGGAAAAGAAACCAACAGGGAUUGCCCUAGUAACGGCGAGUGAAGCGGCAACAGCUCAAAUUUGAAAUCUGGCGUCUUUGGCGUCCGAGUUGUAAUUUGCAGAGGGCGCUUUGGCAUUGGCAGCGGUCCAAGUUCCUUGGAACAGGACGUCACAGAGGGUGAGAAUCCCGUACGUGGUCGCUAGCCUUUACCGUGUAAAGCCCCUUCGACGAGUCGAGUUGUUUGGGAAUGCAGCUCUAAAUGGGAGGUAAAUUUCUUCUAAAGCUAAAUACUGGCCAGAGACCGAUAGCGCACAAGUAGAGUGAUCGAAAGAUGAAAAGCACUUUGGAAAGAGAGUUAAAAAGCACGUGAAAUUGUUGAAAGGGAAGCGCUUGCAGCCAGACUUGCCUGUAGUUGCUCAUCUAGGUUUCUACCUAGUGCACUCUUCUAUGGGCAGGCCAGCAUCAGUUUGGGCGGUUGGAUAAAGGUCUCUGUCAUGUACCUCUCUUCGGGGAGAACUUAUAGGGGAGACGACAUGCAACCAGCCUGGACUGAGGUCCGCGCAUCUGCUAGGAUGCUGGCGUAAUGGCUGUAAGCGGCC